AACGAACGCUGGCGGCAGGCCUAACACAUGCAAGUCGAGCGAAGCCUUCGGGCUUAGCGGCGGACGGGUGAGUAACGCGUGGGAACGUGCCCUUUGGUACGGAGUAGCCCCGGGAAACUGGGAGUAAUACCGUAUGUGGUCGAGAGACGAAAGAUUUAUCGCCAAAGGAUCGGCCCGCGUUGGAUUAGGUAGUUGGUGGGGUAAUGGCCUACCAAGCCGACGAUCCAUAGCUGGUUUGAGAGGAUGAUCAGCCACACUGGGACUGAGACACGGCCCAGACUCCUACGGGGGGCAGCAGUGGGGAAUCUUAGAAAAUGGGGGAAACCCUGAUCUAGCCAUGCCGCGUGAUCGAUGAAGGCCUUAGGGUUGUAAAGAUCUUUCAGUGGGGAAGAUAAUGACUGUACCCACAGAAGAAGCCCCGGCUAACUCCGUGCCAGCAGCCGCGGUAACAC
rnacentral:rRNA from 1 species